rnacentral:rRNA from 1 species
GAAAGAUGGCUUUGGCUAUCACUCUGGGAUGGACCUGCGGUGCAUUAGCUAGUUGGUAAGGUAACGGCUUACCAAGGCGAUGAUGCAUAGCCGAGUUGAGAGACUGAUCGGCCACAAUGGAACUGAGACACGGUCCAUACUCCUACGGGAGGCAGCAGUAGGGAAUCUUCCACAAUGGGCGCAAGCCUGAUGGAGCAACACCGCGUGAGUGAAGAAGGGUUUCGGCUCGUAAAGCUCUGUUGUUGGAGAAGAACGUGCGUGAGAGUAACUGUUCACGCAGUGACGGUAUCCAACCAGAAAGUCACGGCUAACUACGCGCCAGCAGCCGCGGUAAUACGUAGGUGGCAAGCGUUAUCCGGAUUUAUUGGGCGUAAAGCGAGCGCAGGCGGUUGCUUAGGUCUGAUGUGAAAGCCUUCGGCUUAACCGAAGAAGUGCAUCGGAAACCGGGCGACUUGAGUGCAGAAGAGGACAGUGGAACUCCAUGUGUAGCGGUGGAAUGCGUAGAUAUAUGGAAGAACACCAGUGGCGAAGGCGGCUGUCUGGUCUGCAACUGACGCUGAGGCUCGAAAGCAUGGGUAGCGAACAGGAUUAGAUACCCUGGUAGUCCAUGCCGUAAACGAUGAGUGCUAGGUGUUGGAGGGUUUCCGCCCUUCA